rnacentral:rRNA from 1 species
GACGAACGCUGGCGGCGUGCUUAACACAUGCAAGUCGAACGGAAAGGCCUCUUUCGGGGGGUACUCGAGUGGCGAACGGGUGAGUAACACGUGAGUAACCUGCCCUUGACUUUGGGAUAACUUCAGGAAACUGGGGCUAAUACCGGAUAGGAGCUCCUGCUGCAUGGUGGGGGUUGGAAAGUUUCGGCGGUUGGGGAUGGACUCGCGGCUUAUCAGCUUGUUGGUGGGGUAGUGGCUUACCAAGGCUUUGACGGGUAGCCGGCCUGAGAGGGUGACCGGCCACAUUGGGACUGAGAUACGGCCCAGACUCCUACGGGAGGCAGCAGUGGGGAAUAUUGCACAAUGGGUGGAAGCCUGAUGCAGCAACGCCGUGUGCGGGAGGACGGCCUUCGGGUUGUAAACCGCUUUCGCUCAUGACGAAACUUUGUGUGACGGUAGUGGGUAAAGAAGCACCGGCUAACUACGUG